CUUCCUGGGGAAGCCAUUCCUUGUCAUCUUCUUUGUUCAAGCAGCCAUGUGCUUGGAGAUAUCUUUGCUAGUGAUUGGUUGAGGAGUGGUCUAGUACUGGCUAAGAAGACAGAAGAAGAGCAUUUGAAAGGAGCUUCUUUUAUCCCUGAAAAAAAGAAAUGAAUGAUAUAAUGCCUGGAGCUGCAGCAGCCACAUUAAGUCUAUAAAGUCGGAUGAACAGGAGGAUAAAAAGCCAACACACACAUAAGGGGAACAGGAAGAAAAGACAGAAAGAAACUGAGUCCUUGAUGGCAUCCCUGGAGCAGCUGAAUCAACACCACUAACCACAUACCUCUAUCUUCUUAUGUGGGAAAAAUAAACCCUUAUUUGAUUAAA